AAAACACUUUACCGAACUCAUAUGGGAUGGCCCUGUAAGUUGUGCAGCACUGUUGUACCAACCAAGAGUGACAUUUUAAAGCAUUACAGACUGCACCAUGGGACCUUUGGACACAGCCAUUCCUUGCCUUGCAUUCAUAUUAAUGAAGCGUUCCGAAGGUGCACUGCUGUUCCACUGGAAUCAACAUUUAUGUCCCAACUGGACAGGUACACUCCAAAACUCCUGGAGCUCUUCAGUGCAAAAGGAGGAGUGACUGCAGCGCAUCAAGAACUUGUUGAUGGAACUGACACAGGACCCAAGUGCCUCUGCAGUGAAGAAGAGAGAUGUGACUGUGAGAUGCCUCAUAGAGUACGUGGGAGAUAGUGGACAGGAGCUAAUCUCUGACUACUGGAACUGCAGAGACCGCUGUUCUUGAGGACCUUGAAAUGAAGAAUAUGAGCAUCUACAUCUGUUGUGAGACAAAUGCAGUAGGAAUCAUCAUUGAGGGAGUACCAGUCCUUACUCAUCUUGGAAACCUGGUCAAAGCAUGCUGCCUACUUCUGGGGUUGACGUAUGCACUUAAUCUUGAGUAUCCAUCCAAACUUUCCAAAACAUUUGAGGUGUUUCAAAUACUUUUUGUGGGACUUGACACACUGCGCCCAAAACCAACCCCCAAAUUCAUGACUCUCAAAAACAAGCUUCUAGCUUAGGCAGUGAGCCAUGACUGUCAGCUUGCACUUUUGAACAGCUAUUUUCUUGUGUCUGUU